AGCGUUGAAACACCAGUUCCUGUAAAAUCACCGAAGUUAAGCAACAUCAAGCCUGGUCAGUACUUAAAUGGGUGAACGCUUGUGAAUUCCAGUUGCUGUAAG